rnacentral:rRNA from 1 species
UACGAAGGGGGCUAGCGUUGUUCGGAGUUACUGGGCGUAAAGGGCGCGUAGGCGGCGCACCAAGUCAGGCGUGAAAGCCCUGGGCUCAACCCGGGAAUUGCGCUUGAGACUGGUGUGCUUGAGUACGGGAGAGGAUAGUGGAAUUCCCAGUGUAGAGGUGAAAUUCGUAGAUAUUGGGAAGAACACCGGUGGCGAAGGCGGCUAUCUGGACCGUAACUGACGCUGAGGCACGAAAGCUAGGGGAGCAAACAGG